rnacentral:tRNA from 2 species
GGACGAUUAGCUCAGUUGGCUAGAGCAUCACAUUGACGUUGUGAGGGUCAGAGGUUCGAGUCCUCUAUCGUCCACCA